AUUGAACGCUGGCGGCAGGCCUAACACAUGCAAGUCGAACGAGUGGCGGACGGGUGAGUAAUGUCUGGGAAACUGCCUGAUGGAGGGGGAUAACUACUGGAAACGGUAGCUAAUACCGCAUACCAUCAGAUGUGCCCAGAUGGGAUUGGCUUGUUGGUGGGGUAACGGCUAACCAGGGCGGCGAUCCCUAGCUGGGCUGAGAGGAUGACCGGCCACACUGGAGCGGCGACACGGUCCAGACUCCUACGGGAGGCAGCAGUGGGGAACAUUGCACAGUGGGCGCAAGCCUGAUGCAGCCAGGCCGCGUGUAUGAAGAAGGCCUUCGGGGUGGAAAGUACUUUCAGCGGGGAGGCGUUACCCGCAGAAGAAGCACCGGCUAACUCCGUGCCAGCAGCCGCGGUAAUAC
rnacentral:rRNA from 1 species